UUACCAGCACGUUAUGUGGGCGACUCUAAGGAGGACUGCCGGUGACAAACCGGAGGAAGGUGGGGAUGACGUCAAGUCAUCAUGGCCUUACGGCCUGGGCUACACACGUGCUACAAUGGUCGGUACAAAGGGUUGCCAAGCCGCGAGGUGGAGCUAAUCCCAUAAAACCGAUCGUAGUCCGGAUCGCAGUCUGCAACUCGACUGCGUGAAGUCGGAAUCGCUAGUAAUCGUGAAUCAGAAUGUCACGGUGAAUACGUUCCCGGGCCUU
rnacentral:rRNA from 1 species